rnacentral:misc_RNA from 1 species
GAUGAAGAACGCAGCGAAAUGCGAUAAGUAGUGUGAAUUGCAGAAUUCAGUGAAUCAUCGAAUCUUUGAACGCACAUUGCGCCCUUUGGUAUUCCAAAGGGCAUGCCUGUUCGAGCGUCAUUUGUACCCUCAAACUUUGCUUGGUGUUGGGCGUCUUGUCUCUAGCUUUGCUGGAGACUCGCCUUAAAGUAAUUGGCAGCCGGCCUACUGGUUUCGGAGCGCAGCACAAGUCGCACUCUCUAUCAGCAAAGGUCUAGCAUCCAUUAAGCCUUUUUUUCAACUUUUGACCUCGGAUCAGGUAGGGAUACCCGCUGAACUUAAGCAUAUCAAUAAGCGGAGGA